rnacentral:rRNA from 1 species
GACGAACCGAGCGAACGUUGUUCGGAAUCACUGGGCUUAAAGGGCGCGUAGGCGGGUAUUCAAGUCUGUGGGGAAAUCCGGCAGCUUAACUGUCGAAUUGCCGUGGAUACUGGGUAUCUCGAGGGAGGUAGGGGCGUGCGGAACUAAUGGUGGAGCGGUGAAAUGCGUUGAUAUCAUUAGGAACUCCGGUGGCGAAGGCGGCACGCUGGACCUCUUCUGACGCUGAGGCGCGAAAGCCAGGGGAGCAAACGGG